ensembl:lncRNA
AUGAAAUCGAGGAGGAACAGCACUAAGGAAGGAUUGAGAAAAACAACGCUGGCCAUGAUCCGCAGAGUGGCCUUCCUGCAGAGGAAAAACUCCACAGGUGAGGAUGAAGACACAGGAUACUUGGACGUGUCCAUUUGUGAGCUGAAGCACCCUCCAGCUGUACUGUGCCCUAUGCCGGAGGGGCUCAGCGGCCAGCAGGUCAUCCGACGCCUCAUUCUCAGCUCUAUUGUUCAAAGUGAGAGCAGCUACCUGGACUCCUUGAAGAGGAUCCUGCAGGAAUACCAAAAGCCGCUACUGGAGAGCCACACUUCCAUCCUAAACCCGGAGAAGGUGCAUCAGAUCUUCUUCCGUCUGAGGGAGAUCCAUCAGUGCCACUCCAUGUUCCAGAUCGCCCUGGCAUCGCGCGUGGCGGACUGGGAUCAGAGUGAGAUGAUUGGAGACCUGUUUGUGGCCUCGGUCAGUUCAAAUGUCUACGUUCAUCGUUCACAUCGCACUCUGCAACGCAUGUUCAAGCGACCACUUUCAACGACAGGCCGUAAACACGCUCUUCUGGUUGUGGUGCCUCAGGACAUGUUGAAGAACACUCCGCUGGCCCAUAAGGACAGACUUCCUCUGCAGCUGGCUCUCACCGAGCUUGAGAUCCUGGCAGAAAAGCUCAACGAAGAGAGGCGUUUGGCUGACCAAGAAGCAGAAAUCCAGCAGCUGGCCCAUAGCAUAGGAGACCGCAACCUCAACAAGCUGCUAAACUCGGAGCAGAGGCAGCUGAUCCACUCUGAGCUGCUGACUGAGACUGUCUAUGGGGACAAAGGUCAAGUCCUUAAGUCUAAGAAGCGAAAGGUGUUUCUCUUCAGUGACUCGUUGAUUUGUGCCAACAUCAACUGGAAGGGUCCUCCUGAAAUCAGCAGCCUGGUUCCCCUGGGAGCCAAAUGCUCGGUGAAGUGGUGUGCCCCUGUGGCACAGAUCCAAGUGGAGGAGGUGGGGCAGGAUGGGGUUGUGAUUAGUAGGCGGCAUAGCUCUGCCUCCAGUACUACAGGGAAGUUGUUCCUGGGGCCCCCCAGGUUAUUCCAGGAACUGGAGGAGCUACAGCAUGACCUGGCUGUGGUGGAGGAGGUGUCUCUGCUGGUGGGCACGUUACAUGGACUCUACCAGAACCUGAACAGCACAGUGUCUCAGGACUGGUGCUGCGCUCUGCAGAGGCUCAUCCGUCUGAAGGAAGAGCAGAUCCAGGACGCCAACAAGUGCUGCCUGCGUCUGUCCAUUCCAAGCCGUCCAGACAGGUCUGGACGCCCUGUGAGCAUUAUGGUGGUCUUCAACACCCUCAGCCCCCACAGCAAAAUCUUCUGGGUGAACCGCAUCUACCUUGCUAAGCUGGAAAACUCUCCUGGAUGGGAAUGUUAUGAAGAUGACUGCAAGACCCAAACCCUGUUUGGGUCUCCACUGCUGACCUGCUCUUUGCCGGUUCUGUCCUCCAGGACACUCUCUCUGACGCUGAAGGCGGCUCUGCACAGUCCUUCUCAGUCCACCCUGCUUGGUCUCUGCUCCACCACCACAUGUCUGCCGCAGGGUUACCUCUGGGUUGCUGGUGGUGGAGGCGGCUCUCUCCACGGCCAAGUGGAUAUCUUCUCUUUGAACCGAACCACACCUCGCUUGGUGAAGAGCAUCCCACUGAGGUCCCCCGUCCUCUGUCUGGAGCUUGUGAGGGAGCCAGGUCCCCAGACUGAUGAAGAAGAGGAGGAGAAAGAGUCUGGGAGGGUCACCAGGGCAGAGAACAUCAUCUGUGUGGGUCUGCAGGACGGCAGCAUUCACGUGCACAGCAGUGUGGACACGGCUGUGGAGACUCUGCAGACCCUGGUGAACCCGGACAGCUGCCCUGUGCUCUGCCUCAAACAUUCGACCUCCUUCCUCUUUGCUGGACUGGCCAACGGUAAAGUAGCUGUGUUCCAGAGAGCAGCUGGAGAGAGGCUAUGGGACGCGGACUCGUGCAGACUGGUGCGGCUGGGCUCAGAGCCGGUCCACGCUCUGCUGACAGUGGAAGAUGCUGUGUGGGCGAGCUGUGGCCAUCAUGUCUCUGUCAUCCAGGGAGAGGGUCUGCACACACAGGUUUUGGAAGUUCACCAUGAUCCAGGCUGCCGGGUUCGCUGCAUGGUGCGUUCAGGAGCUGGAGUCUGGAUGGCCUUCACAAAGGGCUCCUCCAUUUACCUGUUUCACACUGAGACACUGGAAGCUCUGCAGGAAGUGAACAUCUCAGCCCGUUCCAGGCAUCCAGGUCAGCUCACGGUCUCCUGUAUGCUGAUUUGCCAGGGUUUGUUGUGGGUGGGCACCAACCAGGGAGUAAUCCUCACUUUCCCUGUUCCCACCCUGGAGGGCAUCCCCAGGAUAACAGGUCUGUGCUGGAACUCACGAAGACCUGGUUCAUUCUGUAAAUGCAGCUUCUGCAGACAAUCCAGUCCGCCCACACUGCCAGGCUUCUCCUGUGACCACGAGGUUUACAGAGGACAAAAUACAACAACAAAAAACUACUUUUACUGUCCUGCAGAGGUGACGAUCACAAGGGUUAAAACCAUUUCUCUGUCUAACCCAGGGGUCGGCAACCUUUUUUACUCAAAGAGCCAUUUGGGACCGCCCCUAAUGGAAAAAAAGCACCCGGAGCCACAACCCGUUUUGACAUCAUAA